AUGAACGCUGGCGGCGUGCCUCAUACAUGCAAGUCGAGCGAACGGACGAGAAGCUUGCUUCUCUGAUGUUAGCGGCGGACGGGUGAGUAACACGUGGAUAGCCUACCUAUAAGACUGGGAUAACUUCGGGAAACCGGAGCUAAUACCGGAUAAUAUUUUGAACCGCAUGGUUCAAAAGUGAAAGACGGUCUUGCUGUCACUUAUAGAUGGAUCCGCGCUGCAUUAGCUAGUUGGUAAGGUAACGGCUUACCAAGGCAACGAUGCAUAGCCGACCUGAGAGGGUGAUCGGCCACACUGGAACUGAGACACGGUCCAGACUCCUACGGGAGGCAGCAGUAGGGAAUCUUCCGCAAUGGGCGAAAGCCUGACGGAGCAACGCCGCGUGAGUGAUGAAGGUCUUCGGAUCGUAAAACUCUGUUAUUAGGGAAGAACAUAUGUGUAAGUAACUGUGCACAUCUUGACGGUACCUAAUCAGAAAGCCACGGCUAACUACGUG
rnacentral:rRNA from 1 species